UCAAUGAUCAGUCUUUUGAUCUCUCCAUCACGUUUGCAGUUCUGCUCCCAGCUUUCUCGUUUGCGCUUCCAGAGUCUUUGUUUGCGAUUCUGACACAAAGCUCUCGCGUGGGCGGGUCUUACAGGGGUGCGUCCCCAUUGGCUAAUGAGUGUUAAGGGAAAGUUUGAGUGACAGCUCAGCCUCAGGUAAACUAACGUUAGAGACUCUGAGUCUGGUCUGGAGGACACACAAGCCACUCCACAGCGGAUUACUGCAAGAUUAAUAAAGUAGACCUGCAGGACCCGAGCAGAGCUACGAUGCUCUCCCAGGUAACGUUAGGUACUUCAAGCUUUACAAUAAGAAGUUAAGGACUACAGCCACAUCCCAGCCCUUCAGAGAACUGUCCUGCAGAAAAGGCUGUUGUCCAGACUGGAGCAGUGGGCCAUCAGUGAGCUCAGGAGACCAGAUGAUACCAGGCGUCUAGGAGUUGUGUGUGAUAUUCCUGCACCACCCUCAGAAGUGUUGUUGCAG